UGGAUCACCUCCUUAGAGUUUGAUCCUGGCUCAGGAUGAACGCUGGCGGCGUGCCUAAUACAUGCAAGUCGAACGCACUUUCGUUAAUUGAUUUUGAGAUGCUUGCAUCGAAGAUGAUUUUAACUAUAAAGUGAGUGGCGAACGGGUGAGUAACACGUGGGUAACCUGCCCAGAAGUGGGGGAUAACACCUGGAAACAGAUGCUAAUACCGCAUAACAAAAUUAACCGCAUGGUUGAUUUUUAAAAGAUGGCUUCGGCUAUCCUGUCUGGAUGGACCCGCGGCGUAUUAGCUAGUUGGUGAGAUAAAGGCUCACCAAGGCAGUGAUACGUAGCCGACCUGAGAGGGUAAUCGGCCACAUUGGGACUGAGACACGGCCCAGACUCCUACGGGAGGCAGCAGUAGGGAAUCUUCCACAAUGGACGCAAGUCUGAUGGAGCAACGCCGCGUGAGUGAUGAAGGCUUUCGGGUCGUAAAACUCUGUUGUUGGAGAGUACCGUGUGUAAGAGUAACUGCUCAUGCAGUGACGGUAUCCAACCAGAAAGCCACGGCUAACUACGUGCCAGCAGCCGCGGUAAUACUAGGUGGCAAGGUACCUCCGGAUUUAUUGGGCGUAAAGCGAGCGCAGGCGGUCUUUUAAGUCUAAUGUGAAAGCCUUCGGCUUAACCGAAGAAGUGCAUUGGAAACUGGGAGACUGGAGUGCAGAAGAGGAGAGUGGAA
rnacentral:rRNA from 1 species